GUAAAUAUAGUUUAUAAAAACACUAGAUUGUGAAUCUAGAGAUAGAGCUCAACCUCUCUUAUUUACC
rnacentral:tRNA from 1 species